rnacentral:rRNA from 1 species
AUUGAACGCUGGCGGCAGGCUUAACACAUGCAAGUCGAGCGAGCGGCGGACGGGUGAGUAAUGUCUGGGAAACUGCCUGAUGGAGGGGGAUAACUACUGGAAACGGUAGCUAAUACCGCAUACCAUCAGAUGUGCCCAGAUGGGAUUAGCUAGUAGGUGGGGUAAUGGGUCACCUAGGCGACGAUCCCUAGCUGGUCUGAGAGGAUGACAAGCAACAGGAGAACGGAGACAGGGGCCAGAGGCCUACGGUAGGCAGCAGUGGGGAAUAGUGCACAAUGGGCGCAAGCCUUAUGCAGUCAUGGCGAGUGUGUGAAGAAGGCCUUGGGGUUGUAAAGCACUUGCAGCGAGGAGGCGUUACUCGCAGAAGAAGCACCGGCUAACUACGUGCCAGCAGCCGCGGUAAUAC